UGGGGAAUAUUGCACAAUGGGCGCAAGCCUGAUGCAGCCAUGCCGCGUGUAUGAAGAAGGCCUUCGGGUUGUAAAGUACUUUCAGCGGGGAGGAAGGGAGUAAAGUUAAUACCUUUGCUCAUUGACGUUACCCGCAGAAGAAGCACCGGCUAACUCCGUGCCAGCAGCCGCGGUAAUACGGAGGGUGCAAGCGUUAAUCGGAAUUACUGGGCGUAAAGCGCACGCAGGCGGUUUGUUAAGUCAGAUGUGAAAUCCUCGGGCUCAACCUGGGAACUGCAUCUGAUACUGGCAAGCUUGAGUCUCGUAGAGGGGGGUAGAAUUCCAGGUGUGGCGGUGAAAUGCGUCGAGAUCUGGAGGAAUAACGGUGGCGAAAGCGGCCCCCUGGACGAAGACUGACGCUCAGGUGCGAAAGCGUGGGGAGCAAACAGG
rnacentral:rRNA from 1 species